rnacentral:rRNA from 1 species
CAGGGAAUCUUGCACAAUGGGCGAAAGCCUGAUGCAGCGACGCCGCGUGGGGGAUGAAGGCCUUAGGGUCGUAAACCCCUUUCAGCAGGGACGAAAAUGACGGUACCUGCAGAAGAAGCCCCGGCCAACUACGUGCCAGCAGCCGCGGUAAGACGUAGGGGGCGAGCGUUGUCCGGAUUUAUUGGGCGUAAAGAGCUCGUAGGCGGUUGCGUAAGUCGGAUGUGAAAACUCAGGGCUCAACCCUGAGACGCCAUCCGAUACUGCGCUGACUUGAAUCCAGUAGGGGAGUGUGGAAUUCCUGGUGUAGCGGUGAAAUGCGCAGAUAUCAGGAGGAACACCGAUGGCGAAGGCAGCCCCCUGGGCUAACACUGACGCUCAUGCACGAAAGCGUGGGGAGCAAACAGGAUUAGAUACCCCCGUAGUCCCUGAGCGGGCUGGCAAGGCGCAU